UACGGGGGGGGCAAGCGUUGUUCGGAAUUACUGGGCGUAAAGGGCUCGUAGGCGGCCAACUAAGUCAUACGUGAAAUCCCUCGGCUUAACCGGGGAACUGCGUCUGAUACUGGAUGGCUUGAGAUUGGGAGAGGGAUGCGGAAUUCCAGGUGCAGCGGUGAAAUGCGUAGAUAUCUGGAGGAACACCGGUGGCGAAGGCGGCAUCCUGGACCAACACUGACGCUGAGGAGCGAAAGCCAGGGGAGCAAACGGG
rnacentral:rRNA from 1 species